rnacentral:rRNA from 1 species
GUGGGGAAUAUUGCACAAUGGGGGAAACCCUGAUGCAGCGACGCCGCGUGAGUGAAGAAGUAUUUCGGUACGUAAAGCUCUAUCAGCAAGGAAGAAAAUGACGGUACUUGACUAAGAAGCCCCGGCUAACUACGUGCCAGCAGCCGCGGUAAUACGUAGGGGGCAAGCGUUAUCCGGAUUUACUGGGUGUAAAGGGAGCGUAGACGGUAUGGUAAGUCAGAUGUGAAAGCCCGGGGCUCAACCCCGGGACUGCAUUUGAAACUAUCAGACUAGAGUGCAGGAGAGGUAAGUGGAAUUCCUAGUGUAGCGGUGAAAUGCGUAGAUAUUAGGAGGAACACCAGUGGCGAAGGCGGCUUACUGGACUGUAGCUGACGUUGAGGCUCGAAAGCGUGGGGAGCAAACAGGAUUAGAUACCCUAGUAGUCC